UGGGGAAUAUUGCACAAUGGGCGCAAGCCUGAUGCAGCCAUGCCGCGUGUGUGAAGAAGGCCUUCGGGUUGUAAAGCACUUUCAGCGAGGAGGAAGGUGGUGAACUUAAUACGUUCAUCAAUUGACGUUACUCGCAGAAGAAGCACCGGCUAACUCCGUGCCAGCAGCCGCGGUAAUACGGAGGGUGCAAGCGUUAAUCGGAAUUACUGGGCGUAAAGCGCACGCAGGCGGUUUGUUAAGUCAGAUGUGAAAUCCCCGGGCUCAACCUGGGAACUGCAUUUGAAACUGGCAAGCUAGAGUCUCGUAGAGGGGGGUAGAAUUCCAGGUGUAGCGGUGAAAUGCGUAGAGAUCUGGAGGAAUACCGGUGGCGAAGGCGGCCCCCCUGGACGAAGACUGACGCUCAGGUGCGAAAAGCGUGGGGCAGCAAACAGGAUUAGAUACCCUGGUAGUCCACGCUGUAAACGAUGUCGAUUUGGAGGUUGUGCCCUUGAGGCGUGGCUUCCGGAGCUAACGCGUUAAAUCGACCGCCUGGGGAGUACGGCCGCAAGGUUAAAACUUAAAUGAAUUG
rnacentral:rRNA from 1 species